rnacentral:lncRNA from 1 species
GUGAAGACCACAGUUUCCUGUCGCGUGGAUGUGUUUCCUCUCUGGCCAUUGCCAUCCGCCCAAAUCUACAGACAUCCCGCAUGUUCCCGGGCUCGUCUCCCCAAUACAGGGCACCAAGGUGAGUGCAAGGUGCAUGGGCAGCGCCGUUUCCUCCAUCAAGGAAACCGGGCUGCGGGCCGUCGGUGGGCGGCUGGUCUGCUGGGUCUAGAGGAGGGAGGGCCUCAAGCCGCGUGCUUUUCACCGUCUGAGUAUCUGAAGCCUCAAAGCCAUGUCUGUCGCCUACAAAAAGUGGGUCGGUGUUUACGACCUGUGUCCCAUGUUUUUAGCAUCCUACCAAGGCGAAUCCAUUGACCAGGAUUUAAGUUGAGACUCCCCCAGGACCCCGGGUGCAGCAUCUGGGUCCCCCUGCCCCGCCCUGCCUUGCGCCGCAGCCGCUUCCGUUGUCCUGCCAGGCUGUAGACUGCGCAGCCCUCCUGGAGACAGAUGGAAGCUCCUUGGGUCGACAGAUUACAGCUUCUGGAACCCCCUACUCCCUUCAACUCCGAGAUGGACACCCACUGUCCAGGGAGAGGAUGCCUGGAAAUAACAGCUGGGAUCUACAGUGGCCAAAGAGUUGUCUCCGUCUUGCUACAUCGACAAACUGGUGCUCCUGAUGCCAGGAGCGACGGUACACUCCAGAGUGCUGUGCCCUGAUGGGCCUUUGAGUGGCCAGUGCAGUGGAUCAUCAGCCCUGUCUCCCAAGAGCUCCAGUCCCUUCUCCGGAGAGGAAGUGGGUCCACUGGCAGCUCAGGAGGCCAUAGCAGGAUUGUCACGUGUGCUCAACAGUCCUCCUCGGCUUUCCAGAAGAGGCUGGAACAGGGCCCUUGAAGAUGUUUGUGGACAUCAGAGGGCCAAAGACGACACAAAGUGAAACUGGAGACACCGCCCCCCCUUGGCAUCAUGAAACUGCCGAUGUUACUGGCUCAUGCAUGGGAGACACCAGCAUACAAAGUCUUGACACCAACACCUCAGAGGGCUGUGUUCUGUCCCCGUGACCAUCAUCUAGUGCCUGGAAAGACUAGUGACAAGAACUUGUUGCCAACUUCCUAUUACCUCCCUAACAGUUGUGCAAUAAACCCCAUAGGUUAAUUCA